CUUCGGUGACUUGUUGCGGACAAAUAUAAUGUACAUGUGCAUCGAUAGUGCCCGCAGUCACGAUGAGCUUCUCGCCUGCAAUGACCUCCGUUGAGGAGCCGACGUACAUGUUGGCGGUGACAUUGUUCAUGACGUCGGGGUUUCCGGCCUUGCCUAUGCCGACGAUCUUGCCCGCCUUUACCCCGAUAUCUGCCUGCAAGGGCGUGCAGCAGGUAAAGUUUGAUGGAGAGUAUUUAUUACCUUGUAUAUCCCGGUCCAGUCAAUGAUAACUGCAUUGGUGAUGACGAGGUCUAGGCUACCCUCGAGGUACCCGCGACUGGUUCUCUGGCCCAUACCCUCUCGGAUAG
rnacentral:sRNA from 1 species